rnacentral:lncRNA from 1 species
GGAGGUUUUCAAUGUUUAAGAAACUGUUUAAGAAGUUUUCUUUAUGAUCAAAAUAUGUUUAUUCUCUCAAUUUCUGAACCAAUAAUUGGCUUGUCAUUUUAAAGCCUUAACAAAGUUAUUGUGGCAAAAUAUUUUCUUGAAAAAUAAUGCAUCUAAUUUUCGACUUCCUGUGGCCCUACUACUAUCCUUGCUUCCCAAAACAAAGGUCUCCAACUCAGGCAAAUACAGUCUCUGCAAAGUGGAACUCAAAAUAUUAACGAGUCACUGCAAGAAAGAAUACAGUGUAAAGGAAAUUUGGAUGGGACUGCAAGUAAAAUCAAUGAAGUCUAUCCAAAUGUAGAUCCUGGAGGAAUACAAUCUGUGUCUCUUACAUCAAGAAAGACUUAGUACUCUCCAAGAAUACCAUUUUGUACCAAGUUCAAACUGGAGGAUCACAAGUCUUUACAUGUGACUUAGGAAACAGGAAGAAGCAACCAAACCAAUCUAAGUGAGGCUUCAUUAAGG